rnacentral:rRNA from 1 species
UGCCAGCAGUCGCGGUUAAACCAAGAAAUUUAGUCAUUCUUUUACGGUAAAAAGACAGUUAGGCAAAAGAAAAAUAAUCAUUAGACCUUUGGUAUAGGAGUAAAAUCUAAAUACUAAAAGUUAUAUUAGUUGUGGUUUAUUAAUAGUGCUGAAUCUGUGAUAGCUUUAAGGGAAACUGGGAUUGGAUACCCCAUUAUUUUUAGUUGUAAAUUUAGUUUAAGCUUACCAGAGUACUACGAAUAAAAAGUUUAAAACUCAAAGGGCUUGGCGGUGUUUUAGACCUCUCAGGGGAACCUGUCUCGUAAUCGACAAUCCACGUUAAACCUAACCUUUUAUGGCGAUACAGCCUGUAUACCGUCGUCGUCAGGUAACUUCUUAAAAUAUAGCAGUUAGCUCGAGAACUUAAUUAAUUAGAACGUCAGAUCAAGGUGCAGCUUAUAAAGAGGUGAGGAUGGGUUACAAUUACAUAUUUGUAAAUACGGAAAAUACUUGAAACAUAGUAUCAUAAAGGAGGACUUGAAAGUAAUUUUAGUUAUAUAAAUAGAAUGAAUAUGGCUCUGAAACGUGCACACAUCGCCCGCCACUCU